UGGGGAAUUUUCCGCAAUGGGCGCAAGCCUGACGGAGCAAUACCGCGUGAGGGAGGAAGGCUUUUGGGUUGUAAACCUCUUUUCUCAGGGAAGAAGCUCUGACGGUACCUGAGGAAUCAGCAUCGGCUAACUCCGUGCCAGCAGCCGCGGUAAUACGGAGGAUGCAAGCGUUAUCCGGAAUUACUGGGCGUAAAGGGCGCGUAGGCGGCCAGGGAAGUCGGAUGUGAAAGCCCGGGGCUCAACCUCGGAAUUGCAUUCGAAACUUCUUGGCUAGAGAACGGAAGAGGAGAGUGGAAUACCCAGUGUAGAGGUGAAAUUCGUAGAUAUUGGGUGGAACACCGGUGGCGAAAGCGGCUCUCUGGUCCGGUUCUGACGCUGAGGCGCGAAAGCGUGGGGAGCAAACAGGAUUAGAUACCCCCGUAGUCC
rnacentral:rRNA from 1 species